GAUGAACGCUGGCGGCGUGCUUAACACAUGCAAGUCGAACGGAAAGGCCCAAGCUUGCUUGGGUGCUCGAGUGGCGAACGGGUGAGUAACACGUGGGUGAUCUGCCCUGCACUUUGGGAUAAGCCUGGGAAACUGGGUCUAAUACCGGAUAGGACCAUCGUUUAGUGUCGGUGGUGGAAAAUUUUUCGGUGUGGGAUGAGCUCGCGGCCUAUCAGCUUGUUGGUGGGGUAAUGGCCUACCAAGGCGUCGACGGGUAGCCGGCCUGAGAGGGUGUACGGCCACAUUGGGACUGAGAGACGGCCCAGACUCCUACGGGAGGCAGCAGUGGGGAAUAUUGCACAAUGGGCGCAAGCCUGAUGCAGCGACGCCGCGUGGGGGAUGACGGCCUUCGGGUUGUAAACUCCUUUCGCCAAGGACGAAGCGUUUUGUGACGGUACUUGGAGAAGAAGCACCGGCUAACUACGUG
rnacentral:rRNA from 1 species